GGCCCUUUGAGGAGUCAGAGGGAACAGGACAACAUUGUCUAAACUCUUCUUUGAGUUCUGCCAGUGAAGGACAACUCAUCUUUCAAGCUGCUCAGCCCAGAACCAUGGGGUGACCUCUAAGUCCUCUUUCAAAAUUUCUGCCAGCUUCUCCUUCAGAGGAUUUCAGAAGCUUAUUGUUUUACAUCACUACAAAGUACAGAAAUUCAUCACCUCUCUCUGGUGUAACAGAAACUACUGGAAGCCACAAGUGUUUCAACCCUGGAGUUUGGAUCUUCCUUUGUAUAUUGCUGAUAAAACGCCUCUUAUAUCGUUUAUCAUUUUUUGUUGUUCAAAAGUGAAAAUUUAUCCAUGCCACUGGGUACCAUUAAUGCGAUGGUUUUGAUGGGGAAUUAUAUAUGAAAGACUUCUUUACUAUCUUCUCAUGUUUUAUUCCUAGCUGAUUAAUGAAUAGCCUUCGAGUUGUGCAAGAUCUUAUAUGAUAUUCAGUUAAAAAAAACCAAUAAAAUCAAAUAGUUGUUUCGUUUUUGGUACA
rnacentral:lncRNA from 1 species